rnacentral:lncRNA from 1 species
GCUCUACUCUACCUUCGAUCUCCUAUCGGUGCUUUACAGGAUCUGUUUUGCCCGCUGCGCACAGUCGGAGUUCUGUCGGACUCCUCCCGAUGGUGUAUGAGCCUCCCUUGCAUUGAUACCUUCGCUCACGGCUCUCUGCCACAUCUCUCUGCGUGUGUUCUCAAUUCUGUUCACCCACAAGACCUCUUAAAGGCCCUAAAAUUCAGCUCAUAUUGGAAUCAGACUCUGGAUUGAACUCUUAUAGCUUCUCUGUCAUCCAAUCAAGCCUCAGAUCGAAAACUAGUCAUUGGAUCAUGCCCCAUUGUGACCCUGCUCAUCUCUGAUCUCCUCUGAUCUAUCCGAUCAUGACUGUGAGCACCCACAGCCAUAUGAUCAUGCAUCCGAUCCAUGAAAUAGCUUGUGAGCCAUGAGAAACCAUCUUGAAACAUCGUCGGUCCAUUAUGGACUGCAUGAAACUAGGGGUGAAACGGCUAUCGGUCCAUGCACUGCAUGUGUACCAUAUGAAGAUGGGCAGCACCCCACACACACCUAUUGGGUCGGCCCGCAUAUCCUACCCUUGCACUCCUAUGCACUGGGCCACAUGCCCAGCAUGGCUGGCCCGCAUGCCUUAUGGACCCAUCUGCCAUCCGUGGGCCCUACCAGCCCACCUCCUCGCCUUCUUUCAUGCGUAUCUUCUCUAUUUAGAUUCUAUUUGAGCUGUUCUUAGACUCGUUAGACUCCGUUCGUUGUUCUGGACCUUGUUGUGUUCUCCUUGUGGAUCAAAUCUUGAGACGUAUUUCCUAACAAACUUGCAUAUGAAAAUGUUUAUUGGCUCGUUGUAGGUUGGCUCUGCACAUAGUUAUCCUAAUCAUCCCUUAGGUUAGCGCAUUUAAGAGUUGAGAAAAUAGACCAUCCACAGUAGGUCAUAGGGGCCUUGCUCCUUGCCGACAGGUCGUAAGGGCCUUGCCCCCUAUUCUUAGCCACACUUGGCUGAAGCCAGAGGCUUGAACUCUUCCAAGGGAACAUCCAAAGGCUUGGGGGAUCUGAGGGCUCAUCUUUCAAGCUACUAAGAUCCGAAGAUUGCAUUGUUGUCAACAAAAGUGAUGGAGUCGGACGUUAUAAGUUGCUAUAGGCUUUAGUUGUCUUGAGCUUGUCAAAUUCCCUUCAUAAAGGAAUCUAGUCAACUUUGCAAUUAUCUAGAGGCUGUCAUCUCCAUCAAGUCCAUCCUAGUCUAGAGAGAUUGACUAGCUCAUCCAGUCUUCAGAAUGAGGUAGGUUCGUUCACCUGGGCUAUCCUUAUCUAAAGAGGUUGGUUAGUUCACUAGAUCUUUGGUGCAAGGGCUGCUACCUUCACCC